UGCAGGAAGCUUGUGUAGCCUGGACCUGAGGUAGUGAAGAAGUGGGAGAUCCAAAUUCAUAGAUCACAGGCUUGAGGCACUAACUUUUAAGUUCCUCAAUCACUGGGGUCACUCAUCGUAGCUAAGAGAGCGAUUUCAUUCCUUUGGGUUCCAGUAAAUUUGUAAUUACCUCACACCAUAUAGGACAGCUGUAACAGGGGAUAUAGUGAGAGACCCUGAAGCCUGGUGGCUUAGUCUUGCCAGGAUCAGCAGAUACAGGUCCAUGCAGAAGAGUGAAAUUAACUUUUUCAUCCCUCACAUUUUCUCAGUGAUUGUCCUAACCACGGUGCUAGCAAAAGCCUUAUUUGUUCUCCAUCUCAUUUGCUGCCAAUAUAUGAGAGUAGCCCAGGCACUCGAGAAGCCCACAAAGAAAACAAAAAUGAGGAGUCUCAGCCGAGUCUGCAGAAAGAGAAGAGACAGAAGAAAAUACCAGAAAAGGCACUGA
rnacentral:lncRNA from 1 species